UGGAGCCGAGGGGAGUCGAACCCGCAUCAACGCUGUGAUAGGGCGUUGUUUUACCAUUAAACUACGGCCCC
rnacentral:tRNA from 1 species